AGCCGAUUUUUGGGUUUAUUUUCGAUUUUUGGAAUUUUGGCCGAUUUUAGGUUUUUCUGCCGAUUUUUUGGGUUUUCGGCCGAUUUUAGGGUUUAUAGUCGAUUUUUGGGUUUUUGGCCGAUUUUAGGUUUUUGCUGUCGAUUUUUUGGAUUUUCGGCCGAAUUAGCGUUUAUCUUCAAUUUUAGGUUUUUCGGCUAAUUUUAUGUUUAUGGUCGAUUUUAUUAAAAUAAAUAAAAUUAAAUGAAGGAAAUUCA
rnacentral:lncRNA from 1 species